GGUGGCAUGUCCGAGUGGUUAAGGAGCUAGUUUUAGGAAAUAUCCGUACCACUAGUGGUUUACCGCGCGCGUUCGAAUCGCGCUGCCAUCA